UAUGCUUCUUUGGUUUCUUUGUGUCAAAAUACCUGCUCCUAAUGUUUUUAUAGUGCAGAAUCCACCUUCUGUCCCAACUUUAGUGGCUGUAAAGUGGGCAAGCUGGUUGAGGCGUUCUGCAUUUAUUGUUGAUUGGCACAAUUUUGGAUAUACUUUGCUAGCAUUGUCUCUCGGAAGAAGUAGUGUUUUUGUGGCAAUAUACCAUUGGUUUGAGAAGCAUUUUGGGAAGAUGGCAAAUGGUUCCUUAUGCACGACAAGGGCAAUGCAACAUGAAUUGGCACAAAACUGGGGAAUUAAAUUACUGACUUGCCAUUUUCUCUAUAUUCAACAUUUGUCAUUGAGGCCCGCCAUGGUUUCAUCAAAGGACAUGAUUAAAGGAAUCAUCCUAGCAACUAUAAUUGGACCGCCUAUUGUCGCAGCAAUUAUUGUAAUAGUACAGAAAGGAAUUCCUUGGCCAUCUAUCUUUGGGGGUUUCUGCUUGUACUAUCUCUUGUGAUGAUGACUGUGUACGACGUUUUAAUUGCGUCACUUUUUAACAAGCUCACUCCACUUCCGGAUGGAGAACUCUGCAUGGUUGAGAAGCUAUUUAUUCACUACGUGGUUUACCGUCAAUAAGUCGGUGAUUCAUCAGAGCGAUUUUGAAGUUCUCUCUCGAAAUCAAAAUCGAAGUUCAUCUCAGUGAUUCAUAUCGGUGAGCUCCACUCUCUCUCUCUCUCUCUCUCUCUCUCUCUCUCUCUUAAGGUGAAAUCAAUCCUGUGAAAUUCUAUGAAUGGUUUCGACAUUUGAUUUGAAACGAUCCUAUCAUAUCCCUCAUUUUGCUGAAAUUCUAUGAAUGGUUUUUUUAAUCUUAUAAUUUGAACUAAAACUUCUUAUUUUGCUGUAAUUUGUUAAUAGAGAGAAGUACGAAAUUGGUUAACUAAUUGGUGGGGGAGAGACAGAUAAAUGGAAUAAAAAAAAGAAAUAAAUUGCUAUUAAAAACUAUCCCACUUCACAUGGCCAAGCCUAUUGUUAAUUGAUAUGGGAUCAUAAGAAUCAAAACAAAUCCCUUCAUAAUUAUUAUUUUGUCUUAAUGUAAACGACUCUAUUAGAGGAUUCCAUUGAAUGUUUUAAAAAAUGA